GAUGAAGAACGCAGCGAAAUGCGAUAAGUAAUGUGAAUUGCAGAAUUCCGUGAAUCAUCGAAUCUUUGAACGCACAUUGCGCCCCUUGGUAUUCCGAGGGGCAUGCCUGUUCGAGCGUCAUUAUAACCCCUCAAGCUCAGCUUGGUGUUGGGGCCUGCUGCACUGGCAGCCCUUAAAAUCAGUGGCGGCGCCAUCUGGCUCUAAGCGUAGUAAUUCUUCUCGCUAUGGAGUCCUGGUGGCUGCUUGCCAUCAACCCCCAAUUUUUCUAUGGUUGACCUCGGAUCAGGUAGGGAUACCCGCUGAACUUAAGCAUAUCAAUAAGCGGAGGA
rnacentral:misc_RNA from 1 species